rnacentral:rRNA from 1 species
UGCGGAGGGUGCAAACGUUGCUCGGAAUCAUUGGGCGUAAAGCGCACGUAGGCGGCUAGAUAAGUCGGGUGUGAAAGCCCUGGGCUCAACCCAGGAAGUGCAUUCGAAACUGUCUAGCUUGAAUCUCGGAGGGGGUCAGAGAAUUCCCGGUGUAGAGGUGAAAUUCGUAGAUAUCGGGAGGAAUACCAGUGGCGAAGGCGCUGACCUGGACGAAGAUUGACGCUGAGGUGCGAAAGCGCGGGGAGCAAACAGG